rnacentral:rRNA from 1 species
GACGAACGCUGGCGGCGUGCUUAACACAUGCAAGUCGAACGGAAAGGCCCUGCUUUUGUGGGGUGCUCGAGUGGCGAACGGGUGAGUAACACGUGAGUAACCUGCCCUUGACUUUGGGAUAACUUCAGGAAACUGGGGCUAAUACCGGAUAGGAGCUCCUGUUGCAUGGUGGGGGUUGGAAAGUUUCGGCGGUUGGGGAUGGACUCGCGGCUUAUCAGCUUGUUGGUGGGGUAGUGGCUUACCAAGGCUUUGACGGGUAGCCGGCCUGAGAGGGUGACCGGCCACAUUGGGACUGAGAUACGGCCCAGACUGCUACGGGAGGCAGCAGGGGGGAAUAUUGCACAAUGGGCGGAAGCCUGAUGCAGCAACGCCGCGUGCGGGAUGACGGCCUUCGGGUUGUAAACCGCUUUCGCCUGUGACGAAGCGUGAGUGACGGUAAUGGGUAAAGAAGCACCGGCUAACUACGUG